CAGCCGCCGCGGUAAUACGUAGGUGGCAAGCGUUGUCCGGAAUUAUUGGGCGUAAAGGGCUCGCAGGCGGUUUCUUAAGUCUGAUGUGAAAGCCCCCGGCUCAACCGGGGAGGGUCAUUGGAAACUGGGAAACUUGAGUGCAGAAGAGGAGAGUGGAAUUCCACGUGUAGCGGUGAAAUGCGUAGAGAUGUGGAGGAACACCAGUGGCGAAGGCGACUCUCUGGUCUGUAACUGACGCUGAGGAGCGAAAGCGUGGGGAGCGAACAGGAUUAGAUACCCGAGUAUCCCUGUCUCUUAUACA
rnacentral:rRNA from 1 species